ACCUCUUUGGUGUAUCGGUUAACAUGCCGGAUUCUCAAUCAUUCCGGUGCGCGGGGUUCGACUCCCCGGAGAGGUA